rnacentral:siRNA from 1 species
UAGUUUUACCCUACUGAUGCCCG